rnacentral:rRNA from 1 species
CGUAGGGUGCAGGCGUUAAUCGGAAUUACUGGGCGUAAAGCGUGCGCAGGCGGUUUCUUAAGUCAGAUGUGAAAGCCCCGGGCUUAACCUGGGAACUGCGUUUGAAACUGGGAGACUAGAGUGUGGCAGAGGGGGGUGGAAUUCCACGUGUAGCAGUGAAAUGCGUAGAUAUGUGGAGGAACACCGAUGGCGAAGGCAGCCCCCUGGGCUAACACUGACGCUCAUGCACGAAAGCGUGGGGAGCAAACAGGAUUAGAUACCCUGGUAGUCCACGCCCUAAACGAUGUCAACUGGUUGUCGGGGGAUUAAUUCCCUUGGUAACGAAGCUAACGCGUGAAGUCGACCGCCUGGGGAGUACGGCCGCAAGGUUA